rnacentral:rRNA from 1 species
GUGGGGAAUAUUGGACAAUGGGGGGAACCCUGAUCCAGCCAUGCCGCGUGUGUGAAGAAGGUCUUCGGAUUGUAAAGCACUUUAAGUUGGGAGGAAGGGUAGUAACCUAAUACGUUGCUACUUUGACGUUACCGACAGAAUAAGCACCGGCUAACUUCGUGCCAGCAGCCGCGGUAAUACGAAGGGUGCAAGCGUUAAUCGGAAUUACUGGGCGUAAAGCGCGCGUAGGUGGUUUUGUAAGUUGGAGGUGAAAUCCCCGGGCUCAACCUGGGAACUGCCUCCAAAACUGCAUGACUAGAGUACGGUAGAGGGUAGUGGAAUUUCCUGUGUAGCGGUGAAAUGCGUAGAUAUAGGAAGGAACACCAGUGGCGAAGGCGACUACCUGGACUGAUACUGACACUGAGGUGCGAAAGCGUGGGGAGCAAACAGGAUUAGAAACCCGAGUAGUCC